UACGUAGGGCGCAAGCGUUGUCCGGAAUUAUUGGGCGUAAAGAGCGUGUAGGCGGUUAGGUAGGUCCGUUGUGAAAACUCGAGGCUCAACCUCGAGACGCCGAUGGAAACCAUCUGACUAGAGUCCGGAAGAGGAGAGUGGAAUUCCUGGUGUAGCGGUGAAAUGCGCAGAUAUCAGGAAGAACACCCGUGGCUAAGGCGGCUCUCUAGUACGUGACUGACGCUGAGACGCGAAAGCGUGGGGAGCGAACAGG
rnacentral:rRNA from 1 species